CAAGAGUUGAUACCAUGUCUAGUUUUUGUCUUAAAUAAAAAUACACAUCUAAACAAAUUUCAUAAGCCAAACUCUUUUCUACUCCCUCCAUUCCAAAAUAAGUGUCGUGGAUUCAGUUCAAAUUUGAUCGAGUAUAAUACUAGGUGCGCAUAGGGUGUCCUGUAUUUUUUCCCUUCCUGAUAUAUAUAAUAUGCCUAAAGAGGUACAAGUAAACAUCAUAUAGCCCACUUCAUAACCUCAGAUAAUUCAAGAAGCAAGACCAAAUUCAUCAUUCUUCUUAUGACUUAUCAGUGAACAACCUCGCUGCUACACCAAUUAUGAUCGUUUGCGCUAUUCAAUUGAACACGACAUCUUAGUCUAGAUAAUUAGUGCCCAUUUGCUAACUGCCGUGGAGGCAGUGGGCAAUACAUACACAUGCACCCCUGGGUAACACACCAUCCAGCUGCGAGGUACCCUAGACCUUCAACACAUGUCUUGUUGCAACUUUGGUUUUCACAGGGCGUUGGCGAUGGCAUGAUUUUUGAUGUACAUGUGACGGGAUCAAUACUAAUGUCCGCUGAUGCCUCCAUUAGCGCAUCUACAAAAUCUCAACAUGAGGAAAAGGGACGAUCACAACAUGACCAUUAUUCGAUGGAUGAGGUUUCGAAGAAACAUAUUACAUGAACAAAUGAGUACCUGAUGCUAGCACGAGGAUGGCGAUGGCCAGGAGCAACAUUUGGGUAGUCCUCAUCUUAGCUAAUUGUUGAGUUGAAGGAAAGAGUUUUCAAGCAGUUGCGUGCUUUAUCAGUUCUGAAGGAGAACAAACGUAAUGGACAAUCCCUUUUAUAAUGGAUUUGCA
rnacentral:lncRNA from 1 species